GCAAAUUUAUACCGUGAAACUGCGAAUGGCUCAUUAAAUCAGUUAUCGUUUACUUGAUAGUACCUUACUACUUGGAUAACCGUGGUAAUUCUAGAGCUAAUACAUGCUAAAAGCCCCGACUUCGGAAGGGGUGUAUUUAUUAGAUUAAAAACCAAUGCCCUUCGGGGCUCUUUGGUGAUUCAUAAUAACUUAACGAAUCGCAUGGCCUUGUGCCGGCGAUGGUUCAUUCAAAUUUCUGCCCUAUCAACUUUCGAUGGUAGUAUAUGGGACUACCAUGGUUUCAACGGGUAACGGGGAAUUAGGGUUCUAUUCCGGAGAGGGAGCCUGAGAAACGGCUACCACAUCCAAGGAAGGCAGCAGGCGCGCAAAUUACCCAAUCCCGACACGGGGAGGUAGUGACAAUAAAUACUGAUGCAGGGCUCUUUUGGGUCUUGUAAUUGGAAUGAGUACAAUUUAAAUCCCUUAACGAGGAACAAUUGGAGGGCAAGUCUGGUGCCAGCAGCCGCGGUAAUACCAGCUCCAAUAGCGUAUAUUAAAGUUGUUGCAGUUAAAAAGCUCGUAGUUGAACCUUGGGCCUGGCUGGCCGGUCCGCCUCACCGCGUGCACUGGUCCGGCCGGGUCUUUCCUCCUGGGGAGCCGCAUGCCCUUCACUGGGUGUGUCGGGGAACCAGGACUUUUACUUUGAAAAAAUUAGAGUGUUCAAAGCAGGCCUAUGCUCGAAUACAUUAGCAUGGAAUAAUAGAAUAGGACGUGUGGUUCUAUUUUGUUGGUUUCUCGGACCGCCGUAAUGAUUAAUAGGGAUGGUCGGGGGCAUCAGUAUUCAAUUGUCAGAGGUGAAAUUCUUGGAUUUAUUGAAGACUAACUACUGCGAAAGCAUUUGCCAAGGAUGUUUUCAUUAAUCAGGGAACGAAAGUUAGGGGAUCGAAGACGAUCAGAUACCGUCGUAGUCUUAACCAUAAACUAUGCCGACUAGGGAUCGGGCGAUGUUAUUUUUUUUUGACUCGCUCGGCACCUUACGAGAAAUCAAAGUCU
rnacentral:rRNA from 1 species